UGGACUAGUAUGAAUGGCACCACGAAGGUUAUACUGUCUCCUUUUUCUAAUCAGUGAAACUAAUCUCCCCGUGAAGAAGCGGGGAUAAAAAUAUAAGACGAGAAGACCCUAUGGAGCUUUAAACAAAAUAGCACUUGCCACAUAACAUACGAUUUCCUGAAUUUUUACUUCACCAAGCAAUAUGACUAUAAGUUUUUGGUUGGGGUGACCGCGGAGCACAAUGUAACCUCCACGCUGAAAGAAUCCUAUUCUAAGCCAAGAUCUACGCAUCUAAGCAUCAACACAUUGACAUCCAUUGACCCAAUACAUUUGAGCAACGAACCAAGUUACCCUAGGGAUAACAGCGCAAUCCACUUCAAGAGCCCCUAUCGACAAGUGGGUUUACGACCUCGAUGUUGGAUCAGGGUAUCCUAGUGGUGCAGCCGCUACUAAUGGUUCGUUUGUUCAACGAUUAAAA
rnacentral:rRNA from 1 species